GGGCCCAUAGCUCAGUUGGCUAGAGCGCCACGUUGACAUCGUGGAGGUCACUGGUUCGAGUCCAGUUGGGCCCACCA
rnacentral:tRNA from 1 species